rnacentral:rRNA from 1 species
UUCCCGGCCCUUUCCGCCGGUGUCAACCGCUAGCAUACCCGCCACGCGGUCCUGCCGGCGAGGUGGACGAGGAGGUCGUGAUCGGGAUCCGGGAAAAAAAAACAAGUGGUCGUCGGUUCGGUUCCGGGAGUAGUCUAACGGGGGGGUGCUACGUGUGUGUGUUUGGGUGCGUUCAUUCGCAUCCCCGCACUCUGACCCCCGCGCUUCUCUCCCUCUCCCUUUCCGCGCGUUCCUCUUUUUUUUGAACCCCCCGGUCCGCUCCGAGUCCCUGCUUCGUGUCUUGUCUGCGCGCGUGUGCGGUCGGCGGUUUCUCCUCCAAGGGUGCUCUUAACCGAGUGUCCGCGGCGGCCGGUACGUUCACUUUGAAAAAAUUAGAGUGCUCAGAGCGGGCUGUUCAAGCUUGCAUACGAUAAGCAUGGAAUGAUGGAAGAGGGCCUCGUCUACGUCUGUCGGUCUCCGUCUACGGCGAGGCAAUGAUCGAAGGGAGCGGUCGGGGCCACUCGUAUUGCGACGUUAGAGGUGAAAUUCUUGGAUCGUCGCAAGACGAACUGCAGCGAUGGCGUGUGGCAAGCACGUUUUCCUCGAUCAAGAGCGAAAGUCGGAGGUUCGAAGACGAUCAGAUACCGUCGUAGUUCCGACCGUAAACGAUGCCGACCGGCGAUCCGCCGGCGUUCGCUUCCAUGACCCGGCGGGUAGCCUGCGGGAAACCAGAGUUCGGUUCCGGGGGGAGUAUGGUUGCAAAGCUGAAACUUAAAGGAAUUGACGGAAGGGCACCACCAGGAGUGGAGCCUGCGGCUUAAUUUGACCCAACACGGGAAAACUCACCCGGUCCGGACACCGGUAGGAUUGACAGAUCGAUAGCUCUUUCUCGAUUCGGUGGGUGGUGGUGCAUGGCCGUUCUUAGUUGGUGGAGCGAUCCGUCUGGUUGAUUCCGAUAACGAACGAGACUCCGGCCUGCUAACUAGUGCGCCGAUGUCAGUGAUUUUUACGGCGGGCUCGGCGUCCUCCGUGGCGCUCGGGUCCGGGUCGGUUUUCUCACGCACUUCUUAGAGGGACGGGUGGCAGAAAGCCACACGAGGCGGAGCGAUAACAGGUCUGUGAUGCCCUUAGAUGUCCGGGGCCGCACGCGCGCUACACUGGAGGUAUCAGCGGGGACUUCGCCCCGGCCCGAGAGGGUUGGGAAACCUCUGAACCACCUCCCGUGAUAGGGAUCGGGGCCUGUAACCAACCCCGUGAACGAGGAAUUCCCGGUAGGCGCGGGUCAACAGCCCGCGUCGAUCACGUCCCUGCCCUUUGUACACACCGCCCGUCGCUACUACCGAUCGAACGGUCCGGUGAGGUCCUCGGAUCUGGCCGACGACGCCGCCGGGCAGUGCGCGACGUGUCCGUCACGACACUCGUGCAUCUACGCCUCGGCGUUCGAUGCCUGGAGAAGACGACCGAACCCGAUCGUUUAGAGGAAGUAAAAGUCGUAACAAGGUUUCCGUAGGUGAACCUGCGGAAG